UACGAAUUAGACUGAGAUUUCAAU
rnacentral:siRNA from 1 species